rnacentral:rRNA from 1 species
CCUAACACAUGCAAGUCGAACGGUAACAGGAAGCAGCUUGCUGCUUCGCUGACGAGUGGCGGACGGGUGAGUAAUGUCUGGGAAGCUGCCUGAUGGAGGGGGAUAACUACUGGAAACGGUAACUAAUACCGCAUAAUGUCCCAAGACCAAAGAGGGGGACCUUCGGGCCUCUUGCCAUCGGAUGUGCCCAGAUGGGAUUAGCUUGUUGGUGGGGUAACGGCUCACCAAGGCGACGAUCCCUAGCUGGUCUGAGAGGAUGACCAGCCACACUGGAACUGAGACACGGUCCAUACUCCUACGGGAG